AUGUUGAAACACCAGUUCUUAUCUGAUCACCUAAGUUAAGCAAAAUUGAAUCUGGUCAGUACCUUGAUGGGUAACCACUAGAGAAUACCAGGUGCUGUAAG